rnacentral:rRNA from 1 species
UAGGGAAUCUUCGGCAAUGGACGAAAGUCUGACCGAGCAACGCCGCGUGAGUGAAGAAGGUUUUCGGAUCGUAAAACUCUGUUGUUAGAGAAGAACAAGGACGUUAGUAACUGAACGUCCCCUGACGGUAUCUAACCAGAAAGCCACGGCUAACUACGUGCCAGCAGCCGCGGUAAUACGUAGGUGGCAAGCGUUGUCCGGAUUUAUUGGGCGUAAAGCGAGCGCAGGCGGUUUCUUAAGUCUGAUGUGAAAGCCCCCGGCUCAACCGGGGAGGGUCAUUGGCAACUGGGAGACUUGAGUGCAGAAGAGGAGGGUGGAAUUCCAUGUGUAGCGGUGAAAUGCGUAGAUAUAUGGAGGAACACCAGUGGCGAAGGCGGCUCUCUGGGCUGUAACUGACGCUGAGGCUCGAAAGCGUGGGGAGCAAACAGG